rnacentral:rRNA from 1 species
UACAGAGGUCCCAAGCGUUGUUCGGAUUCACUGGGCGUAAAGGGUGCGUAGGUGGUGAGGUAAGUCGGAUGUGAAAUCUCCGAGCUCAACUCGGAAACUGCAUUGGAAACUACCUUGCUCGAGGGUUGGAGGGGGGACUGGAAUGCUUGGUGUAGCAGUGAAAUUCGUAGAUAUUGGGAAGAACACCGGUGGCGAAGGCGGCGACCUGGUCCGUGACUGACGCUGAGGCGCGAAAGCGUGGGGAGCAAACAGG